rnacentral:rRNA from 1 species
UACGGGGGGUGCAAGCGUUAUCCGGAUUCACUGGGUUUAAAGGGCGCGUAGGUGGGCAGGUAAGUCAGUGGGUAAAUCUUUGGGCUUAACCCGAAAACUGCCAUUGAUACUAUUUGUCUUGAAUAUUGUGGAGGUCAGCGGAAUAUGUCAUGUAGCGGUGAAAUGCUUAGAUAUGACAUAGAACACCAAUUGCGAAGGCAGCUGGCUACACAUAUAUUGACACUGAUGCGCGAAAGCGUGGGGAUCAAACAGG